GGAUGGGGACAACAGACGGAAACGACUGCUAAUACCGAAUGUGUUCCGGAGACCGCAUGAUUUCCGGAAGAAAGGAUGGCCUCUAUUUAUAAGCUAUCGCCUGAAGAGGGGUUUGCGUCUGAUUAGGCAGUUGGUGAGGUAACGGCCCACCAAACCUACGAUCAGUAGCCGGUCUGAGAGGAUGAACGGCCACACUGGAACUGAGACACGGUCCAGACUCCUACGGGAGGCAGCAGUGGGGAAUCUUCCGCAAUGGACGAAAGUCUGACGGAGCAACGCCGCGUGAGUGAUGACGGCCUUCGGGUUGUAAAGCUCUGUGAUCGGGGACGAAUGGCUGGUAUGCUAAUACCAUAUCA
rnacentral:rRNA from 1 species